rnacentral:lncRNA from 1 species
GGCCCGGGAGGUGGGGCCGGUUAGGGCGAGGGUCCCCGGGAUCGUAGUGUCAGGCCUUGGGCCAACGUAGGCACUCGCAGUUCCUCCGCCUUCAGGAAGGUCUUUUUGGCAGGGGCCUUACGGGUGCGCGCUUCGGUCCUGGAGGCGUUAUCCUAGCCUCCUCUCCAUCAGCGCCACCCGUCUGGGGCCCGAUAGGAGGGAGCUUUCUGUCUGUCCCCCAGCCUUUGGACUGUCACCAAACAAGCCAUCCGUUCACCAAAUACUUAUUAAGCGCCUACCAUGUGUCUGGCAAGGGAGGUGUAACAGUGAGAAAAACUAGGUGUGGUCCAGGCCCUCCAGGGGCUCAGGGGCUCGUGGAAGAAGUGGACAUUGAAGUACUUACCACACAAAUGAGCAUGAAAGUACAAUAGCAAUAUCUGCCACGAAGGCGAGCAGACAGAGCUAGCAGGGCUUCCAGGAGGAGUUUUGAUCUUGCAGGGACAGGAAGGAGGAGUUAGCUCCUGGGGGGCGGGAUUGGGGGUGGUGGUGAUAUAGACGUGGGGACAGAGUGGAAAACAACAAAAAUAUAAUUAUUUUAGUUCAAAGUUAUUGUGUCUUGAGUUGAAAGGCAGGGCAGUUAGCGACACGGUUCAGAUUUCAGUACUGCCCCUGAAAUCUGAAUUGUGUUCAAAGUCUAAAACGUUUACCUUAGCAAAUCCCUCAUAAAACUCCAUUUGGAAGAGUCCCGAGAGCUAAUUUGUUAAGUAUACUUGCAGAAGGUAGAUGAGGAGACAGAUUAAAUCUUAUUACCUCUUUCAGAUGAGAGGCACUUGAGCCCUGCUCAGCCGUGAGAAUAAGAGGGGGAAUUAAUUCUAAUUGAAUACACUUGUUCUCUCACAGCUGUUGUUCCCCACCAGAACCAAAUGAGCGCAAGAUCUGACAAAGAAAAAAAAAGGUUCAUCUUUUAUUCCGCCAAACACUUUCAUCUAAAUCAAGAGGGUGGGAUGUGGUUAUUGCUGUGUUUUUAGACAGAAUCAACAGUUUCUGGGUCUGAGAUAUUGCAUACACCCUCUCAGUCCCUGUAUCCUCAGAUGGAGUCACCUGAGAAUCCACAGCAAGUCCUAACCGGGGAUGGGUCUGGGUGGUUAAGGAAGGUUGGCCUCAGAACUGGGCCAGGGGCACUGCUUUGCUUUUGCUGUUUUGAUCAGCUCUCUGCCCGCAGGAGACAAGGAAAACCAAUGGGAACAGGUCUAGCUGGAGUACAGUGAUGCAGUCAUAGCCCACUGCAGCCUCAAAAUUCCUGGGCUCAAGCAAUCCACCCACAUCAGCUUCCCAAGUAGUUGGGACUACAGGCCCACACUACUAUACCCAGACCAACAGAUAUUCUAGCAUAUAAGAAAUGUGAUGCUCUCUGUACAUUGAAGAGUUGGUCUAAUAUUUGGCCUGGUGGAUACAGAAAUUGCCUGUCUGCUCCGCUCUGGUUGAAGAAACCAGUCCGACUGUCUCUGAGGCUAUGGAGCAGUCCAUCAAGAAUGAAAGCCCUCGGCUGGCACGUUGGCUCACACCUGUAAUACCAGCGCUUUGGGAGGCUGAGGCAGGUGGAUCACUUGAAGUCACGAAUUCGACACCAGCAUGGCCAACAUGGUGAAACCCUCUCUCUACAGAAAAUAGAAAAAUUAGCUGGGCCUAGUGACGUGUGCCUGUAAUCCCAGCUACUCAGGAGGCUGAGGCAGGAGAAUCACUUGAUCCUGGGAGGCAGAGCUUGCAGUGGGGAGCUGAGAUCACACCACUGCCUUCCAGCCUGGGCGACAGAGUGAGACUCUCUCAAAAAAAAAAAAAAAAAAAAAAAAAAGAAAGUCCUCAUGAUGGCCUCAAGCACAUUGGUCCCUGAAGAGAGUCAAGGAAGGCCCACUUUACUCUGCACUGCAAAGCAGGCAGGUGGACAGGAUGAGAAGUGGAUUCAGUGAGAGGCAUUGACUCAAAGGAUUUUCUGCCUAAUGGUCGGUUCAGCAGAAGAUUAAACUGAGCACAGCAUCCUGUUCCCUCAAACUAUCUGAUAGGAUCUCUCUCUCUCUGCCACCCAGGCCAGAGCGCAGUUGAUGCAGGUCAGGGGAGCCCCCCAGUGGAGCAUAGUGUGUCCAGAACUGGUGGGUUGUUGGUCUCACUGACUUCAAGAAUGAAGCCACGGACCCUCGGGGUGAGCGUCACAGUUCUUAAAGGCGGUGCGUCCGG